GAACGGAUGAUAACGCGCCGGCGUUUCAGCAUCUAAACCGCCUUCUACGACGAAAGUGUAUCUCCUACCCCGAACCACAUUGAUCUCAGUUCACAGACACAAACGGGGCUUUCUUGUCAUUCUCUUGAGUACUUUCUCGCACGAGAAAUAUGCUUAACAGAUCGAAAGUUAAUCAGCUUCUUGAAUUCCAAGUACAUUCGAUCAUUAUGUUCCCAAA